GACGAACGCUGGCGGCGUGCCUAAUACAUGCAAGUUGAGCGCUGAAGGUUGGUACUUGUACCAACUGGAUGAGCAGCGAACGGGUGAGUAACGCGUGGGGAAUCUGCCUUUGAGCGGGGGACAACAUUUGGAAACGAAUGCUAAUACCGCAUAAAAACUUUAAACACAAGUUUUAAGUUUGAAAGAUGCAAUUGCAUCACUCAAAGAUGAUCCCGCGUUGUAUUAGCUAGUUGGUGAGGUAAAGGCUCACCAAGGCGAUGAUACAUAGCCGACCUGAGAGGGUGCGAGGCAUCGUUGGGACGGGAACACGACCCAAACUACUGCGGGAGGCAGCAGUCGGGGAUCCUCGGCGAUGGACGCAAGGCUGACCGAGCAACGCCGCGUGAGUGAAGGAGGUUUUCGGGUCGUAAAACUCUGUUAGUAGAGAAGAAUGUUGGUGAGAGUGGAAAGCUCUGCAAGUGACGGUAACGACCCAGAAAGGUACGGCUAACUACGUG
rnacentral:rRNA from 1 species